rnacentral:rRNA from 1 species
UAGUUGGUGAGGUAACGGCCCACCAAGGCAACGAUCGGUAGCCGGACUGAGAGGUUGAACGGCCACAUUGGGACUGAGACACGGCCCAGACUCCUACGGGAGGCAGCAGUGGGGAAUAUUGCACAAUGGGGGAAACCCUGAUGCAGCGACGCCGCGUGGAGGAAGAAGGUCUUCGGAUUGUAAACUCCUGUUGUUGAGGAAGAUAAUGACGGUACUCAACAAGGAAGUGACGGCUAACUACGUGCCAGCAGCCGCGGUAAAACGUAGGUCACAAGCGUUGUCCGGAAUUACUGGGUGUAAAGGGAGCGCAGGCGGGAAGACAAGUUGGAAGUGAAAUCCAUGGGCUCAACCCAUGAACUGCUUUCAAAACUGUUUUUCUUGAGUAGUGCAGAGGUAGGCGGAAUUCCCGGUGUAGCGGUGGAAUGCGUAGAUAUCGGGAGGAACACCAGUGGCGAAGGCGGCCUACUGGGCACCAACUGACGCUGAGGCUCGAAAGUGUGGGUAGCAAACAGGAUUAGAUACCCUGGUAGUCCACACCGUAAACGAUGAUUACUAGGUGUUGGAGGAUUGACCCCUUCAGUGCCGCAGUUAACACAAUAAGUAAUCCACCUGGGGAGUACGACCGCAAGGUUGAAACUCAAAGGAAUUGACGGGGGCCCGCACAAGCAGUGGAGUAUGUGGUUUAAUUCGACGCAACGCGAAGAACCUUACCAAGUCUUGACAUCCCUUGACGGUGCUGGAAACAGUACUUCUCUUCGGAGCAAGGAGACAGGUGGUGCAUGGUUGUCGUCAGCUCGUGUCGUGAGAUGUUGGGUUAAGUCCCGCAACGAGCGCAACCCUUAUGGUCAGUUACUACGCAAGAGGACUCUGGCCAGACUGCCGUUGACAAAACGGAGGAAGGUGGGGAUGACGUCAAAUCAUCAUGCCCUUUAUGACUUGGGCUACACACGUACUACAAUGGCGUUAAACAAAGAGAAGCAAGACCGCGAGGUGGAGCAAAACUCAGAAACAACGUCCCAGUUCGGACUGCAGGCUGCAACUCGCCUGCACGAAGUCGGAAUUGCUAGUAAUCGUGGAUCAGCAUGCCACGGUGAAUACGUUCCCGGGCCUUGUACACACCGCCCGUCACACCAUGAGAGCCGGGGGGACCCGAAGUCGGUAGUCUAACCGCAAGGAGGACGCCGCCGAAGGUAAAACUGGUGAUUGGGGUGAAGUCGUAACAAGGUAA